CGAAGACGGGUUUGGAACGACAUGGGGUCCAUUAGUGGUGCGAUGAUGAACUCUGGUGGUGAUCUGAUGUAAUUUAAAACAUAAAUCCUAUCCAAACAACAAGCCCAAAAAUGAUAAUCAGGUGAGGACUGAAGGCCUAAUUGUGAGAGCUGUUGGCUGUUGGGGACUCAGGUUUGAUUCUGGCCUGAGUCUUUUCCCAAACACAGUCCCCCUUUUUCCCCCAUUUACCUGUUUUUCUCUACUGUCCUAUCCAAAAGAAUAAGGCCAAAAAACAAGGCCACUAAAAAAAAAAAAAAAAAAAAAGGUAAACAGGUGAGGUGCUGAAGGGACUGAAGGCCUAAUCAUAUCAGAGCUGUUGGCUGUUGGGGCUCCAAGUUCAAAUCCAGCCGGAGUCAUUUCCUGAUCCCAUUCCCCCUCUUUCCCCCACUGUCCUGUCUGUCUCUACUGUCCUAUUCUAAAUAAGACCAAUAAUGCUGAAUAAGGCCAAAAAAAAAAAAAGUAAACAGGUGAUAUAAGUAAUUGAAGGCAAAGUGAGUAAUUUAAGGAUUAAUCAAAUAUUUCUAAAAACAGAAAAAGCAGAAAGGCUUGUAAUGAAUUUGAAUCUAUGAAUCUAUCAAAACGUAUUUAUUCAUCAAUGUAAUUUGUAUAGUAGCCUCUGGUAUAUUUGUAGUCAUUACGUAAUGUGUUAAUACUGUAAGAGAAUACAGUUGUUUGCAGUAUUGUUAAUUCCAAAGUAGAUGAAGUAUGAUGACAAACUUUGAUGCUGGCUUUUACAAAGCUAGAGGUUUAAAUGUUUUAUCAUCAGAAAACAAAUGAAAUUUCAACCAGGCCAUAUUAGAUCGCUUCAGACCCCAUGUGACCUCAUUACACUUAAAAGGAAGCAUCAGUUUAGUAAAUUAUA